GUAAGAAAGACGUCCUUGCCCCAAGUUGGUAUAAAUGUGAGUGCUCAGAAACAAUCUUUCGUCAAACUGAAUUGAGUAGUGGUUGCUUGGGAGAGAGAAAGUGUAAAGACAGUAUGUCUCCCAGCUUUCCAUCCAAUGAAGAAAGUCCAUCGACAUUCACUUAUUACAAGAGCUAGCGUGUUGCCUGUUGUAUCAUAAAUAUGUGUAGAACAAAUUAAUUUCAUGUUCCUGUGCGUUUUCUGUUAUAGCAGGAAGUAAUAGUACAGGUAGCUUUUUGUAAAGUCAAUUGUUUUUCAUAAAAA